rnacentral:lncRNA from 1 species
UUGUACUGGAUGUGAUCGUUUAUCCAUUGCAACAAGGCAGAGAGAUAGAGAAAACGGGAGAAAGAAAAAGGGAAGUAUGAAAGGAAUUCAGAUUGGAAGGAAGAAAUAAAGCUGGAUUUAUUCAGAAAAAAAUCCUAGGAAAUCCACAAUCAAGUUAAAAGAAAAAACUAUUAGAGCUAAUGAACUAAUUCAGCAAGACCAAA